rnacentral:rRNA from 1 species
UACGAAGGGGGCUAGCGUUGCUCGGAAUCACUGGGCGUAAAGGGUGCGUAGGCGGGUCUUUAAGUCAGGGGGGAAAUCCUGGAGCUCAACUCCAGAAUUGCCUUUGAUACUGAAGAUCUUGAGUUCGGGAGAGGUGAGUGGAACUGCGAGUGUAGAGGUGAAAUUCGUAGAUAUUCGGAAGAACACCAGUGGCGAAGGCGGCUCACUGGUCCGGUACUGACGCUGAGGUGCGAAAGCGUGGGGAGCAAACAGG